AUCCUCCUGCCUCAGUCUCCCGAAGUGCUGGGUUGUAGGCCACUGCACCCAGCCAUUGUGACAAUUUAGUGAUUUUUCCCUUAGUGGCUCUGACACAAGAAGCAGACAGGACAGGAUGGGGUGGAGGCUCAUGGUCACAGUUUUAGUUUUUUCUCCCUUUAAAGUAUUUUCCAUUCCUGAGGCCAGUGGGAUGAAGGAAGAGAAACAAAUCACACUUAAUCCUCAGAUAGUGGUUAAUUCUCAUAAUUAACCAGGUGUAUUUCAUUUUGGCUUUUUUGAGAUGGGGGGGUUGACAAGUAUUUCAGUUUUUAAAUUUUUUUAUGAUGAAAAAUAAAAUCUAUGCAAAAGUAUAUAGUACAAUGGACAUCCAUAAACUCAGCUACUGAGAUUCAAUAAUGGUUGUAUUUGUCAUAUUUGCUUUGUGUGUCCAUACAUAUAUUUAACCAUUUAAAAGUAAAUUACGGACACCGUUAUCACCCCCAAGUACUUCAACAUAUAUUUCUAAAAAAAAAAAAAAAAAAAGAUGCUGCCUGCAUAAGUAAAUAUGAUUGGCACACCUAACAAAAUUAAUUUCCUGUAUCAUCUCAUACAUAUAUAUAUAUAUGUUCCCAAUUGUCUGGAAUGUACCUUUUAGCUGUUUUUUCCCACAACCAUGAUCAUGCAUAAUAUAUGGUGGUUCUCUCUCUGAAAUCUUUUGAUGUUGGAAACAGGAGCCCCCUGUGUCCCUUCCCUCGCAGCUUUUCCUGAACACACUGUUGUUUGAGGUGUUCAACUCACUCCUCCAUCCUUAGCACUGCCUACAAACAAGAAGUUGGAUCUAAAGGCUCAGUUAAUCCAAGUUGCUGCUUGCUUUCGGGGCAGCUCCUGGGCCCCUGUGCACAGCAGGGCCACAUAGUGUCUGACAUCCACCAUUAGUGGUAACAUUAGGCUCAGGUGUUAACAACUGGAUCUUUAACCUGGCUCCCUUUUUCCUUAAGCAUCUCUCAGUUGUGCCCUCUCUACGCUUCUCGAGGGCUGUGUCCUGGGACCUCUUCUGCAAGCAGAGAGCCAGGGAUGUGGCCCGCCAGCUGGGACAGGUACCUGCUGUACUCCCUCUCAGAUCCAGAAAAGAGGUCAUAGCAAUGAAAAUGCAGGUCGAUGUAUGUACUUGGCCACAAGGAGAGCUAGCUUCCUUCUGAUGUGUCGUGCCCUUCUAUAAUCCUACUGCACACAAAGCACAGUGACCAUCUAUUUUUGGCCAGACUGAGCUAAUUCCAUGAGUUUGGUUCUCGAAAUCACCUGACCUCUGUGGAGAGUGGAGCGUAGGGAGAGGUGACUGGGGCACCCGUGCCUUGACACCCCAUUUUCUUCUCCUGCUCCCCUAUAAUGCCCUCGCUAUGGAAGCACCUUCCUAGGACUUCAGAAUGGAAACUGCUGCAGGGCCCUUCUCAUGCAUCCCAGUGGGCAGCACGAGCAUGGACCGCCAGUGAUGCACUCCAAGCCACCUUCACCUCAAGCAUCCUAUGCAUCUGCCAGACACGAGUGGGGCCUCAACACUGCUUGACAGUUUGUGAAGUGCUCUAACAUUCUGGACAUGAAGCUUUCAUGGACUGCACUAGUGUGCUGUCCUGCCCUGUCUGUACACACGUUUUUUGCCCCUACAGCUGAUGGGACCCAUGCGUAGGGCAGAUGUCAGCCCUGUUGUAGGCUAUGGAGCUGCACAGUCCAAGAGACAUCACUUCCCCAGCAGCCAGCAUGGUCCCCGCAGGCUCUCAGUAAACAUCUUUGCUCAUUACUGACGAAUCGUAUUCGAUUCAAGUCUUAGCCCAUCCUUCCAUCUUUAUCGUCUAGCAUAUGGCAGAGAGCACAAAGAAAAGAGAAUAUGGCCAGGCUGGGUGGCCCACGCCUAUAAUCCCAGCAACCCAGGAGGCUGAGGUGGGAGAGGAUCACCUGAGCCCAGGAGUUAAAGGCUGCAGUGAGCUAUGACUGAACCACUGCACUCCAGCCUGGGCAACAGAGCAAGACCCUAUCUCAAAGACAAAAACUAAACAAAACAAAAAGAUAAUGUGCAAGUAAAUUAACCCCUAACUAAAAGUCUAACACUCUCACAAGAAUUAUGUCUUCCAGGUGCUUCGUUCUAAUUCCUACUGAGAAAAAUUUCUGUAGCAGACAGUAGUUUACAAAUAUUCUGCUGCUAAAAUUACAAACUUUAAAGGUAGUAUGAAGUGGUGGUAUGAAGGUAGUACGAAGAAAAAAAAUCCCGGAUUAGUAGAGUUAUAGAGUCUGGUGUGACAACUCAGCAUUUGGGAUUUCUGGCAGAGUCCAGUUUUACAGCCGUGUUAAUGGCUAUAACAAGAGGGUGUCGCAGAAAUGCCAGCACUUCUCAUCCAAACGAAAUCUCGAAAUGUGACAAGGCACAAAAGUCUUGCUGAACAUAUCAGAAUUCCUGCUGCGUUUUUUGCUGCACUUCCUCCACUGAUUAGCUACAUGCUCUCUGCCAUCAUAAAAUCUCUCACACCUACACUGCACUGGAAGGAAGAAACGAUGCUCCUGCUUCUCUUGCUUUAGGAUAGUCUCAGCUAUUGCAUGCGACUGUCAAUGAUUCCCAAUUCUCUGUGGAAGCACUCCUGCUAACAGAAACUUGUGUUGCUAUUAUCAUUCUAUUUUACACAGAAAAAAAAACAGAGAAACAGAUGAGUUGACUGGCUUGCCCAAGAUCGGGGUUCAGCCUCGAGCCCAGUCUGCCUGGCCCCAAGUCCAUGUUCCCAACUACUCUGCCCUUCUCCAUGGGAGGCCCAUCCCCUCAAUAUGUGGUGAGUCACUGAAGUCUCCCUCAAUUCUUCUUUCCCUCGUACCCACUUCAAAGUCACCAGUCUACUCUUUCGCUCAAGUAUCCCCAAGUUCAUUCUUCCCAUUUCACUGUCACUGCUCAUGAAUGCAAUGAGGGUUUACUUCCCUCCAACCUGGCUGGUCCCUGCCUGGCACUGAAGGGGACCUCUAAACAAGGACCUUUCAAUGACCCUUGGCAGAGAGCAGCAAAGGCUCUGCAAUGCCCACAAAGCCCUGAGUCUGGUCCUAAUCCCCUGCACCUUCCUCCAAUCAGUCCACACGUUUGGCAUACCACACUCUAUUAGCCCCUGGAUGCAGAAGUUCCCAUACCUUCUCACAGGAGUCAAUUCUGCAACUUCUGGGAAUUUCGUUAGCCAGUUUACUUUUUGUGGUGGCUUGAAGUCAGUCAUAGUGGGAAGCUGACAAAGGCUACAAAUCAAACCUCUUGCCCCUGGAGAGCCAGUUGUUAAGCAUUGACCAACAGGCCACCACCUGGAUACUCUCCCCUCAUUCUUUGUUUUCUUUCUUUUUUUUUUUUUUUUGAGAUGCAGUCUCCCUCUGUCACCCAGGCUGGAGUGCAGUGGUAUGAUCUCAGUUCACUGCAACCUCUGCUUCCUGGGUUCGAGCGAUUCUCCUGCCUCAGCCUCCCAAGUAGCUGGGACCACAGGCACGUGCCACCACGCCCGGCUAAUUUUUUGUAUUUUUAGUAGAGAUGGGAUUUCACCGUGUUAGCCAGCAUGGUCUCUAUCUCUUGACCUUGUGAUCUGCCCGCCUCGGCCUCCCAAAGUGCUGGGACUGCUGGCGUGAGCCACCGUGCCCGGCCCAUUCUUUAAGCUCCACCUAAAACAUCACAUCACUUGUGAACCAAUGUAAUGUCAACAGCCCUGUGUGCAUAUCUGUUAUAACACCCCACUGAGUUCUAUGACACAUCAUAUGCUCAUCUCCCUGGGGCCCUCGGAGGCCCCAUGCUAAAGGCUAUGCCUGCUGAUCCAUGUGUCCCACCUCAUGAUGGGCCUAGCGAGCACAUGGGGGCAUCUAGGAAGUGCUGACGGGGUGAGGAAGCAUGUGAACACAUACCUGUGUGCCUGCUCUCACUGAGUCACAGAGAUGUGCACAUGAAAGCACUUCCAAUUCAUUACCACUGCCAUAUCUUCAAAUGCAGCUUCAACAGCAAAGUAUAUUUGUUUCACAAGAAAAAAUAUUUCUGAUGUUCUUAGCAACUUUACAACACGAAUAUAUACUAAAUCUCUGCUUACUUUUGGAACUAUGAGUAUUUAGAUUUAAGGGGUGUCGAGGUAUUUCUUUUUUGAGACGGAGUUUCACUCUUGUCGACCACGCUGCAGUGCAAUGGCACGAUCUCGGCUCACUGCAACCUCCACCUCCCGGGUUCAAACAAUUCCCCUGCCUCAGCCUCCCGAGUAGCUGCGACUACAGGUACCUGCCACCACACCUGGCCAAUUUUUGUAUUUUUAGUAGAGACAGGGUUUUACCACGCUGGCCAGGCUGGUCUCGAACUCCUGACCUCAGGUGAUCCACCUGACUCGGUCGGCCUCCCAAAGUGGCUGGGAUUACAGGUGUGGGCCACCUCGCCCGGCCAGGGGUGUCAAGGUAUUUCUUGUUGGGAUAAUCUAGAAGACAAAGACAACUGUCAGCUCACUGGAGAAAGCUGGCCCUGUAUCCUGAGGCUGACAUGGCGGAACUUCAGGCUGUGUGCUUGGACGUCCACUCUCAGGGAUCCGGGAAGGCUCUCAGCUGCUCUGUUCUAACCCCAUCUGCUUGAGUCACCUCAAAAUUCACGUGAAUAAGCGGGAGGCAGCAAUCCAGCAUCAGCCAGCAGGUCAGGAGACCAGAUCUUUACCUUAAGCAGCCUCAGACCAAUUUGGCUGACUCAGUCCGGCAUCUACAAAUGCAGCUCAGUUAACUGAGCUGGUAAAGUGCUCUUUCUACUGGUUUCAAGUAACAUUCCCAGAAAGGUAAAACUCCUCUGGCCAACUCCUACAAGGGAACCUGACCCUCCUCAAGGCUAGAAGCAGGGCACAGGGUCCAGAAGCCAAGAUCGUCACAGAGGCACAUGCCAAGCUUCGUGCUCCAUAGAGCACCCAGGGACUGAGGUGAAGAGAUGCCAGGCAGCAUGCAACCGCUAAUGAAACAGAAGAAACAAGUUCAAGGUCUCUGAUGGUAAGAUCUGAGUGGACAUGAUGAAAACUGGCACCUUUGUGUUAUCAUCAGCGCUUUCUUAUUCCUCAAAGAUCAAACAUUAAUUUCAUUUUUGUACCUUAUUUUUCCCACUUGAUCAAAAUGGCACUACAGUAACACCUAUCCUUCUGUGCUGAGGCAGAGAGGUACUGCCAUGUAAGUGUGCUCUGCCUACCAGGGCUGUAAGAACCAUCCCGGGCCAAAAGCAGAGUGUCUUCCUUCACUGGCUAUGGGCAGCACUGAGUGGGGCAAGCUGGGGCCACAUGCACUAUUAUCCCUCAGCCCGUGCCUCUUCCCAGGUAGUAUGAAUGGAAAGAAGAUCCAGAAGGAAGCUCAGCAUACAGCCAUGCCUUCCCGCCCUGUCUCGGCCCACCCAGUCAAAGAUGCAAGCUUGUCCCUUGCUUUCUCCUUUCUCUCCUCUUGGUGAGGUGUGGCCCAAUCCUUGGAGCUUCGCUGUUGUCUCCACUGGUCCACAUCUCUCCACUGGCUCCACAUCUCUCUCCAAAGAAUGCAGAGCCACUAAUCCUACCUGGAACUUCCCAGCCAGACGAGAAAGGCUGCUUCCUGGUCUGGUGUUUGGCCUUUCCCAAACACCCCCUUCCUUGGGAUCCUGACCAUGAAAACCCACCAUGGACAAGGACACACCCUAUUCUCUCCCCAGAAGGUCACCUGCUGAACAUCACUACCAUGGAUCUGCCUCAUCAGGAGAAAGGAGACUUUGGCCAUGUGGCCUGGCCACUCAUGUUAGGACUUCUACAGCAAGCCCCAUGCCAUGUGUAAGUGUCUUACAGAUGGACUUUUAGCACAACCCACCUAUGCAUGGGGAACGCAGUAAAAGAGGCAGCGAAGAGCCAGCCUGUGCAAAGCUUUGAAUGACUGUAGGGUCACACCAAGACAACAACAGAACAAAGAAUCCAACGUUUAUAACAAACUUGCUUAACUCUUACUGACGCUGAAUGUUACAUUAUUAAUGAUAAUUUCAGACUCAUAACUAGGCAAUCAUCACUCUUUUUGUAAAUCCCAUAUUUAGAUGGCAAAUAAACAGCCAAAAGUUAAGGCAUUCAAAGGGCACAUGAAAACCAUUCCUUUAUGUGGAACCUGGGGUGCUGUGAUAAAAGGUAACUAUGAUCUUACCAGUACAAUCUGCAGAAUCAUUUAUACCACUAAGGCUAUGUAAGUCACACCGCUAAGAUAUAUCUUCGGUUUAUUCUUUUUCUUAUUAGUACUAGAGUUCAAUAAAACACUAUCUAAAUACUUCGGGCAAUGGUGUUAACAUUUUUCUUGUUGAAACUAGUUACCAGAAUAAAGAAAAAAUAUCAAAAAAA